UCCCUACGGGACGCAGCAGUGGGGAAUAUUGCACAAUGGGCGAAAGCCUGAUGCAGCGACGCCGCGUGAAGGAUGAAGUAUUUCGGUAUGUAAACUUCUAUCAGCAGGGAAGAAAAUGACGGUACCUGACUAAGAAGCCCCGGCUAACUACGUGCCAGCAGCCGCGGUAAUACGUAGGGGGCAAGCGUUAUCCGGAUUUACUGGGUGUAAAGGGAGCGUAGGCGGCAGUGCAAGUCAGAAGUGAAAGCCCGGGGCUCAACUCCGGGACUGCUUUUGAAACUGUACAGCUUGAUUGCAGGAGAGGC
rnacentral:rRNA from 1 species